rnacentral:rRNA from 1 species
GACGAACGCUGGCGGCGUGCCUAAUACAUGCAAGUCGAACGCAGUGGGGACGGGUGAGUAACACGUGGGUAACCUCCAAUCAGAGGGGAUAACACGUGGAAACAGGUGCUCAACCGAUAAUGCUGGAUGGACCCGCGGUGCAUUAGCUAGUUGGAGAGGUAACGGCUCACCAAGGCCACGAUGCAUAGCCGACCUGAGAGGGGGAUCGGCCACACUGGGACUGAGACACGGCCCAGACUCCUACGGGAGGCAGCAGUAGGGAAUCUUCGGCAAUGGACGAAAGUCUGACCGAGCAACGCCGCGUGAGUGAAGAAGGUUUUCGGAUCGUAAAACUCUGUUGUUAGAGAAGCGGUAUCUAACCAGAAAGCCACGGCUAACUACGUGCCAGCAGCCGCGGUAAUUC